UAAACACACUUUGAGAAAGCAAACAUGUUUUGUUUAUAUUCACAUUGCUUGUAGUUUAUUCGCCUUGGAACACAACUCUCAAACUUUUGUGAAUCUAUUAUCUAAAUAUCACCUAUUUCCAAAAAAAAAUGCAAGUGUCCAAAAAGUAUUUAUUGUAAGUGUGCAACACGUAUCACUGUUUUAAAUGUAGAGGAAUCAGGUAUGAAAAAAAUUGAUUUUAUUUGUCAGCCACUAUUGCAUUUGUAGUAGUGACUUACAGUUGCUCAAUCCUGCAGGUUGUAUUUUACUUUUAUCUUUUGGACUUGUGCAUGCUGUAACAGAUCAAGACAUUAGCAAGACCUGUGAUGAUUAUUGCCUGUUAAGCCUGUAAAACUCAACUAGUCAACUCGGGUUCCACAGAAAUUGAUUAACUGGGAGCAGCUUAUGUGCGUCACGGGGAGAGACUAUGGUUUCCAUGGCAGAGCAUUGGAAGCUGAUCAGCAGAGUUAUGUAGCAGAGCUUAGACUGACAGCAUCUCAUGACAAGAAGCCAUAUUUGUGAACACAAUAGGCCAGCAUGGCCGGAGGGCAGUGAAAGUCAACACUUGCCAAUGAUGGACCGUGCUGCUGACGCACACCCUGUUGAGUCAUCAGUUACACAUCAAACAUCUGUCUACACAAGCCUGUAAGCCAAUAGAAGUGGAACUAAGAAAGAAAUGGAAACAUUUGGACUUGACAUGCAACAAAAGUUACGGCAUUUUCCAUGAGACGUCUGCUGAGAAUAGGCUACACCGUUGUGAGAAUAAAAAGGAAAUGCUUUCAUUCCUGUUAUGUUUCACUGAAAUCCACAACAAUCAAGGUGGCAAUCAAGUCUAAACACAAGUCUGCAUACUUCCUAUUUCAAAUCCUAAU